AAAUGCGAUAAGUAAUGUGAAUUGCAGAAUUCAGUGAAUCAUCGAAUCUUUGAACGCACCUUGCGCUCCUUGGUAUUCCUUGGAGCAUGCCUGUUUGAGUAUCAUGAAAUCUUCAAAGUAAAUCUUUUGUUAACUCAAUUGGUUUCUACUUUGGUAUUGGAGGUCUUUGCAGCUUCACACCUGCUCCUCUUUGUUCAUUAGCUGGAUCUCAGUGUUAUGCUUGGUUCCACUCGGCGUGAUAAGUUAUCUAUCGCUGAGGACACUGUAAAAGGUGGCCAAGGUAAAUGCAGAUGAACCGCUUCUAAUAGUCCAUUGACUUGGACAAUACUUUUAUGAUCUGAUCUCAAAUCAGUUAGGACUACCCGCUGAACUUAAGC
rnacentral:misc_RNA from 1 species